GGAGAGCUCACUGCACCAUGGGAAAAGAGCUCAGAGCAUCCUCAACCAGAGACCUCUACGACCUCGUCACCAAGGAAUGCAAUAUGGCUGAAACAACGGCCACCAGGGUCUCCCACCAAGUAGAUUAGUGCAGCUCUUUAGCCAAAAGAAAGUCAUCCCAGAGACACGAGGGCACAGAUAGCCACGCACAGCCAGUCCCUCAGAAGUGGAAGGUAACUCCUGGUCUCAUGAGUCACUCUGGAGACAAUGGGAGACUUACCUAACCAAAUCAAUGGCUGUACUCUCACUGAAUAUCCUUUCCAGGUUACGGCUAAGUAAACUUCUUUUUGUUAAAUGCGAAA